AGAUUCACUACACCUGCUUGAUGAUUUUCUAAAGACAGUUUUUGGAUAGGGUAUUAUUUGAUUUUGUUUGCAAUAUGUACUUACAAUAUCUCCAACUCUUCUACUUUGCAACACGUUUGGAAGGUUCAAGAGAGAGGAGGCCAAGAUCUCAGCGUGGGAAAACUUGCAGAAGGCAAAAGCUGAGGCAGAAAUCAAAAAACUAGAGAUGAAGCUAGAAAGGAAAAGAUCUUCCUCAAUGGAGAGAAUUCUGAAUAAGCUUCGAUCGGCACAGAAGAAAGCCCAGGAGAUGAGAAGUGCUACGACUGCCAGUCAAGCCAACCAAGUAGCAAAGCCAAUGAAAAAGGUUUCGCCCUUGUGCAAAAAUGGACACAUCAGUUCUUUGAGUGGGUGUUUCACCUGCCAUGCCUUCUAGA